rnacentral:tRNA from 1 species
GGGGGCGUAGCUUAGCCUGGAUAAAAGCGCCACUCUGUCACAGUGGAGAACGUGGGUUCAAAUCCCAUCGCCCCCG